CGCCCCCGCCGCUGGUCACGCAGAUGGACGGAGCCUACAGACCGGCCCCUGUCUGACUCUACUUUAGAGUGUCCUCUUCUUCAAAGAGGUGGCCGUGACAGCUGAAAGGGCAGAAGCAGGGGACAGGUGAUGCAGCUUGGGGGGGAGUGACUGUUAAAUGGCCACGGAGCACACUGAGGUAAGUUGUUGCAGUCCAUGGGAGGGAAAGGGG
rnacentral:lncRNA from 1 species